rnacentral:tRNA from 1 species
GGGCGCAUAGCUCAGCUGGUUAGAGCGCUGCCUUCACACGGCAGAGGUCAGGGGUUCGAGUCCCUUUGCGCCCACCG